UACGAAGGUGCAAGCGUUACUCGGAAUUACUGGGCGUAAAGGGUGCGUAGGUGGUUCGUUAAGUCUGAUGUGAAAGCCCUGGGCUCAACCUGGGAAUUGCAUUGGAUACUGGCGGGCUAGAGUGCGGUAGAGGGUAGUGGAAUUCCCGGUGUAGCAGUGAAAUGCGUAGAUAUCGGGAGGAACAUCCGUGGCGAAGGCGACUGCCUGGACCAGCACUGACACUGAGGCACGAAAGCGUGGGGAGCAAACAGGGAUUAGAUACCCCCGUA
rnacentral:rRNA from 1 species